CUCCUGGAAACGGGUGGUAAUGCCGGAUGCUCCAGUUGAUCGCAUGGUCUUCUGGGAAAGCUUUCGCGGUAUGGGAUGGGGUCGCGUCCUAUCAGCUUGACGGCGGGGUAACGGCCCACCGUGGCUUCGACGGGUAGCCGGCCUGAGAGGGCGACCGGCCACAUUGGGACUGAGAUACGGCCCAGACUCCUACGGGAGGCAGCAGUGGGGAAUAUUGCACAAUGGGCGCAAGCCUGAUGCAGCGACGCCGCGUGAGGGAUGGAGGCCUUCGGGUUGUAAACCUCUUUUAUCGGGGAGCAAGCGAGAGUGAGUUUACCCGUUGAAUAAGCACCGGCUAACUACGUGCCAGCAGCCGCGGUAAUACGUAGGGUGCAAGCGUUAUCCGGAAUUAUUGGGCGUAAAGGGCUCGUAGGCGGUUCGUCGCGUCCGGUGUGAAAGUCCAUCGCUUAACGGUGGAUCCGCGCCGGGUACGGGCGGGCUUGAGUGCGGUAGGGGAGACUGGAAUUCCCGGUGUAACGGUGGAAUGUGUAGAUAUCGGAAAGAACACCA
rnacentral:rRNA from 1 species